rnacentral:rRNA from 1 species
AGUAAACGCUGGCGGUGCGACCUAAAACAUGCAAGUCGAGCGCCCAGCACAAUGCGGAUAGAAAGCAGCAACUUACGACCCUAAGUCCUAAGUCCCCUGUCCUAUGUCCUCAUCGUGCUGGGAGCGGCGAACGGCUGCGUAACACGUGGAUACCUGCCCCCGAACUCAGGGAUAACCUCGCGAAAGCGAGGCUAAUACCGGAUGGUCUCGAAAGAGUAAAGCUUUCGCGGUCGGGAGGGGUCUGCGGCCUAUCAGGUAGUUGGUAAGGUACGCUUACCAAGCUAUGACGGGUAGCUGGUCUGAGAGGACGACCAGCCAGAAUGGAACUGAGACACGGUCCAUA